GUCUACUGGACUUUAUAAUUUUGAGAUCACCUCAUUGUAUUCUGGUUUGUUUACUUGGAUACAAAACAGGCAGCACAAUUACUUUUUAUUCAAAUUUACUUCCUUCAGUAUUCCGAAAUCUACUCCCUGGAAUUCUUAAACAAAUAUUUCACCAAGGUGAAUUCUCAUGGUAAAUUCAAAUGCUGCAGUUUACCAAUCUUUUUCUGAGAUCAGUAUUUGUUUGACACUCAGUGUUACAGUGUGCAAGUCCCAAAGCCUGUGUCACUUUUUAAAAUGAGACUUGGGUUCCUAAGUCAGUUAGGUGUUGCAAUGCUGAGCAGAGCAACAUUUAAAUAUUUCUUAAAAUCUGAGUUUUCUGUUUUGAUUAACAAUUUUUUUCAUGCCAGGAGGAAAAGAAAAACUGAAAAGAAAUGCAGGUGCUGGAGUCAUCCUCUACCUUAAGAUGGCUUAUGGAAACUCAAGCAGAUUGGUUUGUACACCAUGGUGUGCCCUCAUGGUUCCUCAGAGUCAUCCCCAGAAAGUGAGAAUUGUUGAACUAGGAUAUUUCAGUAUAAUAGUAGGAGAAUAAUCAGCAUUCCUACUAUGAAACCUGCUUCUCAGUUGUUAAAAAUUGGACCAAGUUUGUUUGAACAGGACUGCCAUGAAGGUUUUUAACUAAUUAUUCAAAUUAAUAAUAAUAAUAGUUUGCUUUGGUCAGUUUUAAAUGUUGGGAGGUUAAAAGGGAAUAGUUCCCCAGUUUGAUCAUUAGUUCUUAAUGCAGUUUGUGCUCGUGAUACAGGGUUUUAUUCUGUAAGCUUCAUUUGUACAACAUAAAUCCCUUUAUGAUUGACUAGGAUUAGACUAUUCCUUAAUGCGCUGCCCCAGUCAACAAAACAGAAGAUUAAGUUAGGACCAAGCACAGAAGUCUUUUACAUAUAGGUUUUUUUUCAUUUUGCAGAGAUACUAGAAUGUGCAGUGUUAACAAAAUUGUACAUAUCAGCAGAUAUGACUGAGUUCUUGAGAAAUCAUGACAAACAUGCUACUCAGUUAGGCCUUGGUUCAGAAAAGCACAGAAGCACAAGUGUAACUUUAAGCACAUGCUAAAAUGUUCUUCUGAUUCAGGGAUUUAGUGGUGCCUUAAUGUAAACCAGAAGAGAGAGAGAGAACCUGGGAUACCCAUAUAUUAGCAAUCAGAUGUAUUGGGGGGGAAAUGAAUUCCCUGGUCUCCUCAGUGCUCUGACCAGCCAUGGAAUUGGUGGCAGAAUAGACUAGAUUGAACUUUUAGACUCAAUUCCUGCAUAAGAGGUUGUGCACUCUGGACUGUUCUGGAGAAGCCUGGAAGCAGCACCUUAUUGCAGCUCUUAUGUGGUAAAACUUACUUCCCUUCCCGCACUGGCUCAACAUUGCUGGCUGGUGCAUGUGUUGGGAAGGUCAAAGCCAAAUGUUAACCCAUUCUUUUACCUCUCUCCAUGCCCACUUGCUCUCAGGGAGCACCAGGGUCCAUGCCAUGAUGUGGGAACACUAAUGUCAUACAGGAGAGCUGUGGGAGGAGGAGGUGUAUGAAAACUUGUGAGAGAGAGGUCUUACUACUACUUACUCUCUAGCAUAGCUAUGUAAGGCUGGGUCACAGUCUGCCCCUGUAUUAAAAUGGUUGUAAGUCUAGCACUGCUAAACACAUCCCCAUGAUCAUUGUCCAUCAGGUAAUCCAUUCUGGUAUCUAUAUUACACCAUGGUAAUCCACAGCUGCUAAGUAGAUGAAAUCCUGGCUCCACAGAAGUCAGUGUGAGUUCUGUCUGUUGUCUUUGCCCUUUGUUGUACAGAAAGUUCUCAACUCAGUACUGAAAUAACUGAUUUAACUGACUAGUGAAAACCAAGAAGAUACCUGGAGAGUCACAGUACAGUAAUGUGCACUGACUCAGGAUAUAGUGAUAGCUCACUCUUUUAUAAAUGUGUUACAUCUGAUUCCUUAAAUUACUUUAGAGAACUAUUGUGAAGUCAAAACUCAAACUGCAAAUUUGAACCAAAUUCAAAAGUUUAGUUCUUACAAAACUCAUUCCUAAUUCAAUGAAACCUUGAAAACCUUCAUAAGCAUUCAAAACAUGUCAGACAAAGAAUUAAUACGAGUCCUGUCUUCUUUUACAGUCUGAGUAAUUUAAAACGGUCAAGCAGAAACAUGUUCCAAUCUUUUAAUAUUUCAUUACAGAGCUGCUGAGGAUUUACUGCAGGAUAAACCUCUGGGAUGUUUCCUCAUAUGAGUUAGUGAAAGUCAUAUUGGUCAUGGUCCCUCAUAAAAGGGGGCUUCUUAGCCAACAUUUUAUUGAAAUAAUUCCAGAUAGCUGAGACUGAUUAGCAAAAGUCUGGAUUCCCAGGAGUAUUUGGUCAUUUAUUGCUUUUGCAGCGCCUUGCAGUAACCUUUUCAGCAUGUCUUAAGCUGUCAAGACCUGUUGUCUCUGAUGGCAUCUUGCAGAUAUUCUCCAUCCAGCUUGUUGCCAGUUUCUCUCUCACUAGCUGUGAGGUUGUUGUCGUUCUGACUACACAGUCAGUUUGUAAAUAUGAUUUCUGCUUCUAACAGACUAGCACCUUAGCUGCUGGAGGGAGAAGAGGAGCAGAUUUACAGGCUAUCUUUCAAGCAUUCAGAUAUCGUAGUGGUGGGUGUGGUAUAAGAACCUGAAUAGAAUAGGAUUUUUCUUUUUUGUCUGAGCCUAAUAACCUGUUGAUUUAGCAUAACAAAUGUUUUUUUUAAAAUACAGUUUUUACUGUCUGCUCAGCUACUAUUUUUCAUAUUUAAGUAUUUUGGUUGUUUUAGAAAAAUAUUUAUGGUGACCUGCAACGGGAAAUCAUAUAUUUGGGACCCUCCUUUCUUUGUGACAUAUAAAGUAGAUCUGAAAGGUUUUAUUUAAAUUUCAAUAUUUUUUUCCUUUUUUAAAAAAAAUUUAACAUUAGAAAUAUCAGGUCUCUUCUUCCCUGUUCUGCAGGUAGAGUCUAUAUGCAGCUGGGAGGAACCAAUGCAAAUAUAAUAGCACAAGAGAAUGAAAAUAUAACAGUUGAGUAGGGGAGGGAUUUUUUAGUCACUAUUUUAAUACCAAUUUAAUUCAAACUUGAUACAUGCUGGGUGGGGGGGGAAGCUCAAGCUUCAAUCACCCUCACCCCUUCAAUUGAGGCUAAAAAAAGAACUGGAACAGGAGUUUAAUUUAUCAAGAGUCCUCUGGUUAAAAAUGUUGCAGACAACAUUUGAUGUUCUGGAGGUAAAAAACAAGCCAAAAAAAACUUUCCAUAUCUCUGUCAUAGAAUAUCAGAGUUGGAAGGGACAUCAGGAGGUCAUCUAGUCCAACCCCCUGCUCAAAGCAGGACCAAUCCCCAAUUUUUGCCCCAGAUCCUUAAAUGGCCCCCUCAAGGAUUGAACUCACAACCCUCAGUUUAGCAAGCCAAUACUCAAACCACUGAACUAUCCCUCCCCCUCUCUGUCAUAUGAACACUUCAUAAGUAUUAAUGGACUUAUCCUCACAUCACUAGUGUGAGCUGGGAACAGGGUGACCAGAUAGCAACUGUGAAAAAAUGGGACCGGGGGUGGGGGGUAAUAGGCUCCUAUAUAAGAAAAAGUCCCAAAAAAUUGGACUCUCCCUAUAAAAAUGGGACAUCUGGUCACCCUAGCUGGAGAAGUAGUAUCCCUGUUUUACAAAUGAGGAACUGAAGUACAGGAAUAGAGAGAUUUGCCCACGACAACCCAGGAAAUCUAUAGUAGAGCCAGGAAUGGAAGCAGAUCCCAUGACUGUCAGGCUAAGCAUACACCAUAACCACAAGACCUCCUUCAGCCCUGCUUUGUAUGUCUUCUGUUUUCAGUAAUUGCUGCAUGGCCCUGGAGCCUGGGAAACGGGCAUGUAGAUAUUUGUUCCUUUCACGAUUUUAUAAAUCACCAUAAACCAGUAAAAAGCCCAAGCCCAAUUUUUCCUCUGCUGGUCCCCUUUUAAAGAUGGCAGACAAACCAGUGACUCUAGGAGCUGUGGACAGCACAACAAAAUCAUUUGGGGAAAUUUUUUAUGUAUAAGAAGUAGUUUAAUAAUUUGCAUAACAGACAUCGUCAAGUAACGGCCUUCUACAAUUUUUUUCCCCAACUUGUAUAGAUCUCAAAACAGGCAGUUAACUUCACAAAGCCAAUGUAAUGCACAGUGGCCAGGGGGCUCAGCUGCAAAAAUCGGGACUUUUUAUGGGGAAAAUGGGACCAUGAUUACAAUGAAAAUCUCCUUAUUAAGGUGAAAUCUGUUCUCCUGGGCUCUAAUGUACCGAAUCAAAAACUCUAUUCAGUGAUGAUAGUAUCUUUAUCCAUUUUCUUCUAGUGCCCUGUCUGCACUUCAUGACUGAGGAGUUAAAUAAUGGAUGGUUCAUUAUUUCAGGAAAGAUUACAAAAUAUAAGACAUUGGAAGACUUGGUGAACUUUCAUAAACAUAAUUCUAUCAGACCUUACAAUGAACUGUUAAUCCAACCAUGUGGAUAGGAGAGUGAUUAAAAUACUGAUUGUGUGAGAAAACAAUUCUUCAUAGUUAUUUUAAAUAAUGAUAUGAGUUGUGCAAAUCUCUUAGUGGCUAUGCUCCCUGAGAAUCUGACUGAAACCAGUGGCUGCAUUUCAGGGUUCACACUAACACAGCAAACUAUUCCAGGAAACAGAACAAUGCAACUGAAUCUUCCAGCAGACCAGGAAGCUCCCCCACUCCAACCCAGGACAGUGGCACCCAAAUGAUCCUUCAACAUUCGUGACAAAGAACCUUAUUCAACACAAACUGAUCGUCCUAGCUGCUGUUUGAAUGGACUUUAUGCUUCAGUUACAGAAGAAAUGAAGUCUGAGUCAAAUAGAUCUAAUAAGUAAAAUAGAUUUAAUAUCUGUAGUUAGACUAUCAAAUUCAAGUUCUCAUUUAAAGCUUUUUGUAUUUACAACAUGGAAACAAAACAAACUAUUGAUAGAACAAUCUGAGUUGAGCUAUCAAUGGAGAAAACAUCUAAACUGAUGGAAAACAAUCUGUAAAACAACAGAACAAUCUAUAAUGGAUUAGGAAGAAUAUACUAGGAUAUUUAAGGAGGAUCAUGGAUUAAGAUUGAAUUUACCUUUAGAUACAAUAAAAGAUGCAAAUUCGUGUCCAAUAUAUAUAUUUUUUGUAACAUCUUAAAGCAUUAAUCUUUAGAGGCAUCUGUGGAGCAGUUCCACUUGAUCUUGGAGGAUUUCUCUAGCACUAGAAAAAGCUAAAGGAUGGCUUUUAAAGUGAAGUAAUCAGAUAAAGACUUGAUAGUAAUGUACCAGGUAGCAUACUGUAUUUGCCUAACACAUUGUUGGAAAGCUGUAUAUUUUUUGUAAGUUCUUUUAGGGCCUGGCUCUCUCUGAACUACAAAAAAUAGUUUAUUCUGAAAAUGACAACAUGUUAUGCUACAUGUAUUCUCCAUUACUGCAUUACAGAUCAGAUCUGCUCAGGCUGUAAAUCAAAACAAGACUUUUUAAAAUAUUUUAUUGGCAAAAAAACCACUUCUGCUAAAUUACAAUUCAUCAGGAUUUCCCUUUGUAUCUUCUAAAGAUUUAAAUGAGACAAAACAAGACUUGCUCUUCAGUGUCUGAAAAUCCUUCUUUGGUCCUCUCUCUCUCUCUCUCUCUCUCUCUCUCUCUCUCUCAUAUGAACAGAACCCCAAGCAAAAUAAUUCUGAAAGCUGAUGGUAAUGACAUAUUGAAGACUCAAGACGCAGUUCUCGUCUCUCUCUCUCUUUCACCAGAUUCAGAUUCGAAUGUGAAAUGUACUAUUUACAAAAAAAAAAAAAAAAAAAAAAUCAAAUCACUUAUGUGCGGCUUUUCAUCUGUAGAUCUAAAAGCACUUUACUAAGGCUGAAUAAACUAACAGCUGAAAGCCAAAUGCUAGGA